UGGUGGAGUGAUUUGUCUGGUUAAUUCCGUUAACGAACGAGACCUCCGCAUCUAAAUAGUUUCGCUUACAUUUUUGUAGGUUUUGAGACUUCUUAGAGGGACUUUUGGGUAAUCAAACCAAGGAAGUUGGAGGCAAUAACA
rnacentral:rRNA from 1 species